GACGAACGCUGGCGGCGUGCUUAACACAUGCAAGUCGAACGAAGUGGCGAACGGGUGAGUAACGCGUAAUCAACCUGCCCUUCAGAGGGGGACAACAGUUGGAAACGACUGCUAAUCCCGCAUACUGAAGGAGGGGAUUGCGUCGGAUUGGCUGGUUGGAGGGGUAACGGCCCACCAAGGCGAUGAUCAGUAGACUGGCUGAGAGGAUGAACGGCCACAUUGGGACUGAGACACGGCCCAGACUCCUACGGGAGGCAGCAGGUGGGAAUCUUCCGCAAUGGACGAAAGGCUGACGGAGCAACGCCGCGGGAGUGAUGACGGCCUUCGGGGUGUAAAGCUCUGUUAAUCGGGACGCGGUACCGGAAUAGAAAGCCACGGCUAACUACGUGCCAGCAGCCGCGGUAAUAC
rnacentral:rRNA from 1 species